AUACGUAGGGUGCGAGCGUUGUCCGGAAUUACUGGGCGUAAAGAGCUCGUAGGUGGUUUGUCGCGUCGUCUGUGAAAUUCCGGGGCUUAACUCCGGGCGUGCAGGCGAUACGGGCAUAACUUGAGUACUGUAGGGGAGACUGGAAUUCCUGGUGUAGCGGUGAAAUGCGCAGAUAUCAGGAGGAACACCGGUGGCGAAGGGGGGUCUCUGGGCAGUAACUGACGCUGAGGAGCGAAAGCAUGGGUAGCGAACAGGAUUAGAUACCCUGGUAGUCCAUGCCGUAAACGGUGGGGGCUAGGUGUAGGGGUCUUCCACGACUUCUGUGCCGUAGCUAACGCAUUAAGCGCCCCGCCUGGGGAGUACGGCCGCAAGGCUAAAACUCAAAUGAAUUGACGGGG
rnacentral:rRNA from 1 species